UAAUACGAAGGGGGCUAGCGUUGCUCGGAAUCACUGGGCGUAAAGGGUGCGUAGGCGGCCAAUUAAGUCAGGGGUGAAAGACGGUAGCUUAACUAUCGCAGUGCCUUUGAUACUGAUUGGCUUGAAUGUACUUGAGGUAGGCGGAAUGUGACAAGUAGCGGUGAAAUGCAUAGAUAUGUCACAGAACACCAAUUGCGAAGGCAGCUUACUAAAGUAUGAUUGACGCUGAGGCACGAAAGCGUGGGGAUCAAACAGGAUUAGAUACCCUGGUAGUCCACGCCCUAAACGAUGAACACUCGAUGUUGGCGAUAUACGGUCAGCGUCUAAGCGAAAGCGUUAAGUGUUCCACCUGGGGAGUACGCCCGCAAGGGUG
rnacentral:rRNA from 1 species